rnacentral:lncRNA from 1 species
AAUCAAUAGGACAAUUUGCUGAGGUCUGGGAGCACCCUCCCCAAAGAAUCCCUGAUCUCCCCAAAUUUGGUGAAGAACUAAAGUUCAUUUUGCUGUACAACUGCCCCACCUAUUUUUGUUUUUGGAGUUUUACUUGCUUACUUGCCUUCCUUAUAAGGAAGGCAAGAUUUACUUUUACUUCCUUUACAAGGAAGGCAAGAUUUCCUGCUUCCAUGAUGAUGAAAGGCAUGUAGAGUUUGAGCUCACUCCCAGCAGGGAAGACCAGUUUGAGUUUUUUUCCUGCUUCUAGGGUGGUAGAAAGCAGCCUUCAGCCUGAGACCCAUCCCUAGAAGAGAAAGAAAAGAAGGAAAGAAAGCAAGCAAGCAAGAAAGCAAGCAAGCAAGAAAGAAAGAAAGAAAGAAAGAAAGAAAGAAAGAAAGAAAGAAAGAAAGAAAGAAAGAAAAGAAAAAGAAAGAAAAGAAGAGCCUUAAGGUCAACCUACAAACUACAGAGUUCCUAAGUUCUCUUUUUUCUCUAUUUUCUUUUCUGCCUGCUUUAAAUCUGCUGUUAUUUUUCUAUUAAGAUCAAAACCACUGUUUGGAUACAACAGGCUUUUUGUUUGCAACCUGGUGAAUUUGUAUUUGUCUCAUGGCUAAAGUUCUGAAGUAAAAGCUAUAGGAUUUCUGUGUGUGUGUUUGUGUGUGUGUGUGUGUGUGUGUGUGUAUCUAUUUAAAAGGCCUUUAUAAUUUUUAUAAUUUUAUGUUUAAUUGGCAAUUAAAUCCAUUUUGACUUCCCUCUAGCACCACCAGACUUUUUCUCUCUGUACCUUAUGAUAUAAUUUUGCUAUUUGAUUUUUGCCUGAGUUGUUUCCUUUAACAUGCAAACUUAAGGCUAUUUAGCUGACAACUCCCUAGGGGAGUAAAACAGGUUAUUAAGAAUUUGAAAGCCUAAGAUAGGGGAAAAAAGCUCCUUAAGUAUCUAUACGAUGUACUUCUAUCAGCAUGCCUACUAUGUCUAUAUAUUUAUGUGAUGUGUACACAAUUUCUCGCUACUGAAAAUAUAUAAAAGAGUUCUAAUUAAUUGGCUUAAGAUAAAAAGCACUUGAAUCUAAUACUUUAUCAGGAAAAAAGAAAAGACUAGUUGAAUGCUUUCUGAAGUUUAUGUAACAAGUAAAAUCUUUAAUAAAUAAGCUAGCUUUAAAAUUAUUGGUAAAGUAAUAUUAGACAUGUCUUAAAAAUUGCCAGCAUGCAUUUUUGUUUGCAUUUAUUAAUCAAGCAAUUUCAUGCUUAUCCCUGUCAAAUACCAUAAGGUGUCAAAAUUUGCCAUGGAGUUACAAAACUGUAAUAGAAUGAUCUUUGCUUGUAUAAUCUUUAAUAAAUAAGACAUUGAUAUUGGUUUAAUAAAAAUAGUCACAUCUUGAAUUUAGUGAGAUUACUGUAACUUCUAAUUUUGUGGUUUUGGUGGUCUAGUCCACAGGCAGUAAGAUUUAGUUUGAGAAUGAACUGUUAUAAUCUUUGUUUCAAAGGUAAACUAUAAACUAUGUUCCUCUCAACGUCUGUUCAGCCUGUGCCCAGGAUUGAACAAGAACAGUUUGGAGGUUAGAAGCAAGAUGGAGUCAAUUAGGUCAGAUCUUUUUCACUGUCUCAGUUAUAAUUUUGCAAUGGCAGUUCCAUAACUUUAAAUGAUGACUAUUGCAGUUUUCAUAAAUAAUCUAGGUAAACAAUUCCUUUUUAAAAAGGUGAACAAUUGUCAUCUAAUUCAAUGCUUAUUUAAAGAUUAUGUAUAAGACAAGUUAAAAGGAACCAGGAAAUCAGAGAGAUGUAAAGAAAGGUAUAAAAAUAAAGAGGAUAAAGAGGGUUCUUUUUGGUAAGGAAGCUUAAAGAGAAAUAAUUUCAUAUGAGAAAAGAUCUUGUAUGGUAAAUUUAGACCUAAAAUAAAAUGAUUGUUUAAGAAAGAUGGAUGUUCAAAACAAACCAGAAAGUCCAAGCAUAUCAUGAACAGUCUGUAAAAGUCAUAAUAAGAGGAUUAAAAAAAAAACCAACAAACUUUUAUAUGGUCAAGUUGUCUGUAAUUAAAAGGAAAUUAUAAUAGUCUUCCUGAAGAUUGGGCUUCAUGUAAAAAAAAAAAAGCAAUGAUAAACAAAAUAGUUAGAGCGAUGAAAUUUUCUUAAGGGAUUGAUUUACUCUUAUUAAAUUAUAAGAGAUUUUAAUUUUUUUAACCCAAAGUUCAACUGUUUACUCGCUGUUUUCUCUCCCCUUCAACUCGUUUGCAGCUCAUAUAAGUUAUUUUCCUUAAAUUCUAUUUGUUAUGGUCUGAUGCUAACAAUGUUUUCUAAAAGUCUAAAGAAAAUGUUUUCUUCCAAAGUAAUAUUCUGUGCAGUGUAGAAGGUCUUUUCUUUUGCCUUUGGGUAAUUGACCUAACAGAUUUUAUGGCUUAUUGAAACAAUGCUAUGCUGUUAUUAUUAAUUUUUGAUUUGCUCAGGAAAAAGUAUCUGAGAUAAUUUUUUAAAAUUAAGGUUAUUACAUCCAUGUAUAUUUCUGUAGGUGCUUUGAAAGUACCUGUGACAUUAAGUUACAGGCCUUUGACUCCUGGGUCUAAAAAGGACACCAAGGUCUGCUAAAUCUUAAGCACUGACAGCAAUUAAAACCUCAUCUUCAGGCCUGGUAGAAGAUGCCAAUCAAAAUAAACUGCAUUCCUGAGACAUAAGGCCAGAAGUAAAAGCUAUUCAACUCCUCAAGGCUCAGGAACUACCACAGAAGAGGUCUUCAAAAGAUUGUUUUCAGUUUUUUUUUCUUCUUCUUUCCCCCAUUUUUCCUAAUUUGGAGUCACUGAAAACUCAUCUGUGCUUUUGUAAAGCCCUGCGAACUGGAGCUAGAGAAUUUAAACUUCAGAAGAAAAUACCAGCAACCUGUUUACAUACAUAAGCCACUUUCAUACCUGCCUACUGAUGUAUGGACUUCAGAGUAAUGUGGCCCAUAUUGAUUUUCCAGGAUUGUUCUUUUGUUUAUUUUUGUUUUUCUCCCUUCCUCCCCCUAUUUUCUCUUCAUAGGACAUGAAACUUCACAACCUGCUAAAAAUGAACUUUCCUAAUAACUCAGGAAUUAUCUUUCUAGGAAUAAACAAUCCUAGCCAUGAGAUAUCAGAUGAAACUUGAGACCAAAGACUGACUUUCUUCAAAAAGGCUUUCUCAAAAAGAUUUUUAAGAAAAGGGGGGAAAUUUGAAAGGAAAAUAAACCUUGGGGCCCUGAAAUCACUAAGGUAAAGGGGAAAGUCAAGCUGGGAACUGCUUAGGGCAAACCUGCCUCCCAUUCUAUUCACAGUCACCCCUCUGCUCACUGAGUUAAAUGCAUAUCUGAUUGCCUCCUUUGGAAAGGCUAAUCAGAAACUCUAAAGAAAGCAACCAUUUGUCUCUUAUCUACCUAUGACCUGGAAGCCCCUCCCCGCUUAGACUUGUCCCGCCUUUUCCGGACGGAACCACUGUUCAUCUUACAUAUGUUGAUUGAUGUCUCAUGUCUCCCUAAAAUGUAUAAAACCAAGCUGUGCUCUGACCACUUUGGGCACAUGUCUUCAGAACCUCCUGAGGCUGUGUCACAGGUGUACAUCCCCAACCUUGGCAAAAUAAACUUUCUAAAUAAACUGAGACCUGUCUCCGAUUUUGGGGGUUCACAAGGCCAUACUGACUUGUCCCCUGUGUGAAGCCCAGCAGGAUCCUUUCACAGCAAGCUCUUUUCACUUGAACCUUUGUGCAUCAGUGCCUAACUCUUUCACAAGAUAAGGGGUCCUACAGAAUCGAAGCAGACCCACCAGAGGGUUACAAGUUCCUGAUACCUAGUACAACCUGGGAAAGAGAGCAAAAGCCCUUUAUUCCUGAUGCAGCUUCCCCAAUCUCUAGCCAAUUUGCACCAAAAGCCCAAGAAACUCCUAACUACAAAUUCCUUCCUGGGGUGGGGUGUUUGGGAGGGUGGGCAGGGACUUCUCUGGGGUCCUGCAUGCACAGCUAGGAUCAAGGUUCAGCUUAUAGUAACCAUUUCCUCAUUUUAAUAGUAAAAACAACCACAACAAGAAAAACACCCCAAGGCGGAGAUUUCAUAUGCUAAUGAUACAUGCGAUGGGUGUUAGACCACGUGGAUCCUGAGCACAUGUGCCAACCGCAGGUCUGCCUUUGCAUACUUGACCUCACCAGUAUUUUAUGAUUAUGUACGUAUAGCUCCCAUAAAAGGAAUUCCUCUUACAGCACUAGCUGCUGUCUCUCCCACUGAGCACCCCACUCUGCCUCUCAAAGAGUACUUUUGCUUUGCAACAAAUUUCUUCGCUUACUCUUACUUUGGAUUUGCUCUCAAAUUCUUUUGCACAGCAAAUUCAAGAACCUGAACUGGUCCACCGACAACAAAAUAACAAAAUUCCCUUAUAUAACAUUUGGAGUCUGCCUUAACUGAUUUGAAUCAAGAUGGAAUGCAGUAGGAUGAGAUGUGCCUUUUAAAUUUGACACAGAAGAGUGAGGAGUAUUACCAUGAUAUCAUAAGUUCUAAAAUCAUGGAUGAACUUACAAACAACAAUACUGGGGCUUUACCUAUCCCAAAGCAUUCCAUAUAUCAAAUUGAAACAAUCAAAAGCUUCUAUUUUAUUUUAGUUUAUGCGUGACAUUGGAGCAGUUUGGCACUAUGAGUUCAUCCCUGAAGUCUUACUUUGGAAUCAUGCUUUGAGAAUCCCCUUCUACUGCAUUCCCACCUCACCCCCAUGAAUCAGUAAACUCAGUGAAAAUUAUCACAAAAA